rnacentral:rRNA from 1 species
AUUGAACGCUGGCGGCAGGCCUAACACAUGCAAGUCGAGCGGAUGAAGGGAGCUUGCUCCUGGAUUCAGCGGCGGACGGGUGAGUAAUGCCUAGGAAUCUGCCUGGUAGUGGGGGAUAACGUCCGGAAACGGGCGCUAAUACCGCAUACGUCCUGAGGGAGAAAGUGGGGGAUCUUCGGACCUCACGCUAUCAGAUGAGCCUAGGUCGGAUUAGCUAGUUGGUGGGGUAAAGGCCUACCAAGGCGACGAUCCGUAACUGGUCUGAGAGGAUGAUCAGUCACACUGGAACUGAGACACGGUCCAGACUCCUACGGGAGGCAGCAGUGGGGAAUAUUGGACAGUGGGCGAAAGCCUGAUCCAGCCAUGCCGCGUGUGUGGAGAAGGUCUUCGGAUUGUAAAACACUUUAAGUUGGGGGGAAGGGCAGUAAGUUAAUACCUUGCUGUUUUGACGUUACCAACAGAAUAAGCACCGGCUAACUUCGUG